rnacentral:rRNA from 1 species
AUUGAACGCUGGCGGCAUGCCUUACACAUGCAAGUCGAACGGCAGCACGGGUGCUUGCACCUGGUGGCGAGUGGCGAACGGGUGAGUAAUGCAUCGGAACGUACCUUAUCGUGGGGGAUAACGCAGCGAAAGUUGCGCUAAUACCGCAUACGCCCUGAGGGGGAAAGCGGGGGACCGUAAGGCCUCGCGCGAUUAGAGCGGCCGAUGUCUGAUUAGCUUGUUGGUGAGGUAAAAGCUCACCAAGGCGAUGAUCAGUAGCUGGUCUGAGAGGACGAUCAGCCACACUGGGACUGAGACACGGCCCAGACUCCUACGGGGGGCAGCAGUGGGGAAUUUUGGACAAUGGGGGCAACCCUGAUCCAGCAAUGCCGCGUGAGUGAAGAAGGCCUUCGGGUUGUAAAGCUCUUUUGUCAGGGAAGAAACAGCAGCUCUAACACAGUCUGCGAAUGACGGUACCUGAAGAAUAAGCACCGGCUAACUACGUGCCAGCAGCCGCGGUAA